CAGAAAACUAUAGAAGGAGGUUGUUGGCAGAGUGAAAGGUUCAUGGGUAGUAGGGUGAGGGAGGGUUGCCUAGGUAAGUGGACCUAGGUUGGAACAAAGGAUUGAUGUCUGGGUCAUGUUGGGUGCUCAAGCUUCUAGAAGGCAUUUAUAAUCAAAAGACUGUUCUAUAACUCUGUGGCCUUCCAAGUUUGUCCUAAAGGUUCAUGCCAAGCUGUAUGGAUUCCAACAAAAAUAUGCACUAAAAAAUCAUAGAGUAAACCUUCUGAUGCACAGAGAAGCCCUGAGCCACAAUCAGAAUAAUACAGACAGGAAGUAAAGCUUUCCUGUUGUAAGCUAGAAUCUAGGAAAGGGUUGCUGGAAACUCACUCAGUCAAAAGUACCUUUAGAAAGUGUUGUGUGCUGUCAAAUUGAGGCAUAUACAAUGGAAUUUUUUUUUUUUACAUUUUAUCCAGUGUUCCGCUUUCCAUUACUUUGCUCCUUUUACAACAAGCAGUGAGGAGGGAUAAAUAAAUGAGUCAGUACCAAAGACAGAGAAUUCCAAAUUAAUUGCCAUUAUUUGCUUUGCAUUCCUGGAUUUGAAAUUCUCUCAUUGUUCAUUCCUAUUUAAUCACUAUUUGAAUGCUUGGACUCCUCCAAUAGGAGGCAGACAUAAAAAAGUCUUUAAUGUUUUUAACAGUCAGGGUCAGCUAUGUGAGAAUUGCAUAUUCCAUUCCAAGGAAAAAAACUUUUAUAAAAUCAGCUACUUAAAAAAAAUAUCUGUUAAACCAGAUUCUGAUUUAUAUGUAAGCACAUUUUCACUCACUCAGGAAAUUCCAAAAAGAGGAAAAAAUUUGUACUAUAUUCAGGCUUCAAAAAGCCCAAAGGCAUAGGAACAGAAUUAGUGAAGCAUAAUAAAUGUUAGAGGGGUGGUUGACUUUCUGAGGUAAUGAGGAGGAUAUUUAUAAUUUUAUUCAGAUUUUUUUUGCCAUGUGGGACUACUCAUUUUCCAGUAGAUGGAUGAACAUUGAUGCAUAUGGAUGCAUAUUGAUGCAGUUGUUAUCAAAGAUAGCAAAAGAAGCUUCAAUGUAAUAGUGAUAUUAGAAGACGGAGAGAAAAUUUUUAUGAGAAAUUGUGGAUUCUUCAAAACAACAGGUUCAUCAAAUAAUAUUAAUGAAGAUUUUGUGAUUACAAAGUGAAUAUAAGACACAAAAACAUGAUGGCAACAUGCAAAUGUAACUGGGCAAUAAACUAUUAGGUUUUAAAACAGACAAAAAUUAUUUUUUGAAAGUUAAUCACAUUUAUACUUCUUUUAAAAAUAAGUGAAUAUAAGUUUAUUUCUUUGUUUCUAAGUCAGUGUCUGACACUAUGUUCCAGUUAGGUCAAUUUGGCAUAAGGUUUGAAAAAGGGAUUUUUUCUUCUAUCCAAGUUGAUUUUCUUUACCACGCUGAAAUAUGUGUGUGUGUGUGUGUGUGUGUGUGUGUGUGUGUGUGUGUGCGUGCGUACAUAUGACAGAGAUAGCAUUGUAAUUCAUGUCUAUAAAUAUAUUUAUAAUUUUUAUUUUUUAUAAUAUUUAUUACAUAAUUUAUAUAAUAUAUUUUAAGAAUAGAAUUAAAGUACAUAAAACAUAUAUUGAAAAUAGAAAAUUUGAUCACAGAGCCUAUGCAGUCAGACACACUAGACAGCCGAGUGUCACUAUCAUGAAAAAUCCUGACAGGACUGGAGAUUGUCUGGUAUAUUGCUACAAUCUUGUCAAAAGCAGCUAGAAAUUUGCUCAGCCACCAGGCACCAUUGGGCAGUGCUGGCUACUGCUAAAUAGAGGAUGAGGCAUGUGUAAACUGUAUUUAAUCCUUUGUUCCCAUUUCAAUCCCUCUGCUUCUUUCACACUAAUAGGGAGGAGGGAGAGAUAGAUGAAUCAAUAGCUUUGACAGAGAUCUCCAAGAACUGCAGUCAUUUGUUUCCAUUACUGGGUUUUAGAUCUCUUUCCUGAUUUGUUCCAAAUGCAUCUCUAAAUGCAUGCCCUCUUCCAAUAGGAGGCAUUCAUAUCUAAUAAAAAUGAUAGUACUGGAGGAUUUUUUCCAGUCAGGAUCCUGGCUUUAUUCCAGCUAAGAGCUGGAAUUUAGCCAAAGCCUAACUGUAAACAACUCCAGAGAAAGGAAACAUGCAGGAGACAGGGGUAAUUAAAACCUAGGAUAUGGUAGGUGAUUAAUGGGAUUUGCAAAAAUGCUGUCAUGAAUAACUGCUCCUGUUUGCUGAGAAGGACUGGUGCCAUAUCUCUGAAGCCACAGCUUCAGCCAUAAUAUCUAUGGUUUCUGGUUAAGUCUUGGGUCAUGCAUUUUGUGCAAGAAGAUUUACUUUUAACUCAAUACUUGACAGAAACUGUGCUUAUAUUGAUCAAAUAUGCUCUUGGAGGGUACAGAAUAAAUGGCUAUAAUUGGUAGAAUUCUUAUUUAGCCAUCUGAGACUCUGUGGAUGUCAAGUGUUAGAUUCCACAUAUAAGUGUGUCUGUGGAAUCUGACAUAGCAUCAAAAAUCAUUGCAGCCCAGCUGCAGGUGGCAGCAUGGAAUCAUAAUCAGCCAUCAAAAGGCAGAGAUAAAGGAUUUCAACUAGAUUGCCUGGAUAUGAGCACAAGCAGGUGGAUAAAUGUUCAUGCCUAUUUACCGAAGGGUUUUUUUUCUUUUUUGUUAGUUGUAUUCAGUGCCUAGGAACAAUUAUAUUAUUUUCUGUCAUCUGUUUUCUGUGAUUAAUGAAGCAGCACAUAUUAAGUUAGAAUGGAAAAAUGAAUCAGCAGCUUAAAGUAGAUCUCCAAGAUAACUCAGAAUUUUCUUCCAAUUGGUGGGAUUGAGAUUACUCUUCCUAUUGGUCCAGGAUCCAAUCAAACUUUGAAUGAACACAGACCUUCAAAUAGAGGCAAGUAGAACUAAUAUGUUGUCAGAAUUGCAGGUUAUAUGAGGUAGGCUCUGGCUGUAUUCCAAAACUCAGUAGCACCUGGACAUAACAAAAUCCCUUUAUCCCAGACAAAGGCAACUAAAUGUUCCUGAAGUAUGCAGGAAACAGAAUGCAUACAAAAGAGUAAAUUCCAGGAUUAUUUGAUUCCUCUCCCCUCCCCUUAUACUCCCAAUUAGCUCAGGAGUUUCUGCCCCUUCCCAUUCCUGGGGUCCAGGAUUACCAGCCUACAAUCCUCUUCACCAAAGAAAUUAGGAAACAUGAUAUACAGUUUAUUUUAAAGGGAAAGUAUGGAAAAGAAAAAAAAAAGAUCAUCAAUCAUUAGCAUUUCUUCUAAAAGAUGAGGCCAAACAAGAGACAAUCAGGAAAAAAAAUGUAAAACAGAUAACAAUGACAAUUUGAUUAAAAAUCUAUGCUAGGCAUAGACUAUAAGGUGCUCAGCAUGAUACAAACCCAUGGAUCUUUUUCUAUAUUCCCCAUGACUGCCAAAAGGACUAAUUUGGCACACAAUUGGCACUAUAUCCACAGAGUUUAAGUGUAAGCAUAAAAAGCCACAAUAAAUAAUUGUUGAAAGACCACUAUAGAAUAUAUUUUAUGCCACAGCCUGGAAUAUUUACAUUUAUGAAAGAUGAAACAGUAUACCUCCUUUCAAGGAGGUUGAAAAGUGUAUUUUUUCGGAUGCUCUAUUUACAAGUAAUUCCUAAAAAGCUACUUAUGUUAUUACAUAGGCCAAGUUAGUUAUUAGUCAAGAAAAUACAGUAUUUAAAUCAGGAAAAUAUGGCCAUAUCAAUCUGAAUGAUUUCCAUGAUAACAUUCUAUGUUGCUUAAUAAAGUCAUCUAAUUAUAAAAUAUUUACAGUUUGACACUUGGUUCCUGCCCAAGUCUGCUGUGUCAUUCCUAAUCUGGAAUAGAUAGUUUAGAUUUACUUACAGUGUGAAAAUUAAUCACUUCAUAACUACUAUCAUAAAAUUACAUUAGCAGUAGAAGCAUCACUUCUAUAAUCACAGACAUAAAAUAGCUAAAUAAAAAAGGGAAAGGUAAUCUUACUACAUUAUUCUUAGUUAAAGAUAAGGGAAUAAGUAUAGCAUUAUUUCACAACUGCAGUCGUGAAAAUCUCCUGUGUCAUGAUAUACCAUCAACACACAGAGAACCAGAAUUACUGUACAGUUUACUAAUUAUAAUCUACUAAAAUAAAAAUAAUACAUACAAGAAACCUACCAUGCAAAUAUUCUCAGCAUACUACUGGCUUCUAACAAAACAACCUGAAAGAGCUCAUGUGAUGACCUAAUGCAAUCUGAAACAAACUGUAGUGCUUACCAACCAGUCUUCAUGCAAUUACUGGUGUUUAUGUAAUGAUCUGGGGAGAGUUAUAGUUUUAAUAUAAGUGUUUUACGGAUAAUUACGAAAAAUUUUUAAUGACAAUAAUUUGUGUUACUAUUUUUCUUCUACACCUUGAGAUAUGGGAACAUGAAGAGAGCAGAACAAAUCAAUUGCAGAUAGUGAAACACGGUGACUGUCAUCAUUUACAUGAUAUAUAGAAAACUUGGAAAAGCAUAACAAUCCAGUAAAAUUAAUUUCUCUCUACUACUUGCUACUUGCAAUUACUCAAAAGCAAAAUCACAGUUUAGUAAUACAUUUAAGUAUGCUUUAUAUGAUACCAUAAAAUUACAUACAUUUUCUCACAGAAAUUGCAUAUUCAUAUAUAUGUGUGUAUAAAUUCAUGUGUGUGUGUAUAAAUUCAUAGGUGUGUACUGUACUUCCAUUAUUUUAAUCCAAACUUCUCAGUGAAUCAGACACAGAAUAUAGAGGAGUUUUCUCUACAGUCCUCAUCCUCCUCUCAUUGAAUUGUAUGAAACUGCCUUGCAGAAGAAUACCAGGCACUUAUCAAUUUCCUGAAUUUUGUAUACAGUAUUCUGAAAGUAGAUUGUAAAACUGGAGGAACAAAGAGGACUACACCAUAAGUAGGGACAAAGCAGGAUACAAUGAUCUACUGAGUGUUUAUCUAUGUGGAAUUUGAGUUAUAUUUUAUGCUAUUUUUAUUUUGUGGUAAUACUGUGGAAUUCAGGUAGACAUCUCAUUAAGCAAAAGGCUCAUUUGAAAAUGUGUAAACCUGAGAUAUUUCUUGGCAUAAUCAUAUUUAAAAAAGCAGGCAUACUGAUAUUAUAUAUUUGCAGGACAUGAGAGAAUGGUGUUAACAGGAAGUUCUCUGACUCUAUGUAUCCAGCUAGGUUAGACUGGCAUAUUCCUGUCCAAGGAUGAAACCUAUGGAAAAUCAGUUAGUUUUAAUACACUUCUGAAUCAAAACAAUACUUCCAAAGUAAAAUACGCUUAAUUUAUUUCUUUAAUAUGAAGAAAAUGAGAGAUAGUUUAUUCCAGUUGGACUAUUUGGAAAAGAGCUUGAAAAAAAACAUAUCUUUCAUUAAUAUAUGAAAAAUUUAUAGGGUUAAAUAAUUGGUUGAAAUAUAUUAGGUAUUUUAAUUUCAUUUCAGUGUAAUCAUAUAUUUUAAUCAUGUAAUACUAUAUUUUGCC
rnacentral:lncRNA from 1 species